UUGCGGUUAAAAAGCUCGUAGUUGGAUCUCGGCAAGUAGAGGGCGGUAUGCUUCGUAGCAUUACUGCCCUAUUACUUGUAGUUUUGCCAGAGGUUCCUGGGUGCUCUUAAUCGAGUGUCUAGGGAUGCUGGCAGGUUUACUUUGAAAAAAUUAGAGUGCUCAAAGCAGGCUAUUACGCUUGAAUAUUCGUGCAUGGAAUAAUAGAAUAGGAAGUUGUUUCUAUUUUGUUGGUUUUCGGAAAUCGACUUAAUGAUUAAUAGGGACAGUCGGGGGCAUUUGUAUUCAAACGACAGAGGUGAAAUUCUUGGACCGUUUGAAGACAAACUACUGCGAAAGCAUUUGCCAAGAAUGUUUUCAUUAAUCAAGAACGAAAGUUAGAGGUUCGAAGGCGAUUAGAUACCGCCCUAGUUCUAACCAUAAACGAUGCCAGCUAGCGAUCUGAGGACGUUUUUUUUGUAGACUCCUCAGGAAGCUUCCGGGAAACCAAAGCGUGUGGGUUCCGGGGGAAGUAUGGUUGCAAAGCUGAAACUU
rnacentral:rRNA from 1 species